rnacentral:lncRNA from 1 species
AAAGUGCUGGGAUUACAGGCGUGAGCCACCGUACCCAGCCCACACACAACAUCUUGAGUGCAUCAUCCGUCAGCACAUCUUUGAGUGCCUACUGUGGCAGGUUAAGUUCCCCGGAAGCGGACUCAGAGAUGGAGGUUGCAUGCAGGCGUUUCCUAAGCAGGGCUCUCAGGAUUGCGGGAAGCCAUGUGCAGAGCUGCCACAGGGGCCUAGUGAUGGAGCUCUGGAGCCGGAAUGAUUCCUGGGAGUUGCCUUGAGUUGGGUCUACAUGGCCAGGCGUUUGUAUUCCACCUGAAUGAACCACUGGGUGUGUGACGUCCCAGGCAGGCUGUGACCUCGGGUGCGGCACAUGGAGGAGGCCUAAGAAUGACAAGAGUUCCUCUUCUGGGCUGGUGGUUCUGUAGGCCACUCUAACUGCUCCUCAUUUAUUUUAUUUCAAUGCCUUGUCCUCCGUUUUCUUUAGGACAUCCACAGUUUAGCCAACAAAGAGUGGGGGUGGCCUGGCAAGUGUUAGCCCAAAAAAGCGUUGUUGCUAAGCCCUGCUUGUCCUCCACCAAUACAGACAGGGCACAGUUACCUGCUCACGACUAAAUGAAACUUAUGUCUUCACAUGUGUGUGUCAUUUUCAAAGCCUACAGAGGUGAAGACCUAUGCGUGGGGCAGCAGCAACCUGUUGCAAGUGGCCUCUCUGCUUCUCCUGCUGGGCCUUGAGGCCAGAGGUCCCCCUGAGAACUGAGAGCCUGCCAGGAGCCUCAGGCCGCAUGGAGCGAAGGGGUGAGGGCCUGCCUUCUGGGCUCAGAUGCCAGCAUGUGUGGACAGACAGACAGAACCUUCUCACUGAUUUCAAAUGCUCCUGUUGAUGGGCCAGGAGGCUCUAAACGCUUUGAGAGCCUUAAAGAGAAGGCACUACUGCCCCAAUCUGAGGGAGGCAAAGCGGAAGAGGCAGAGCUGGUUUGUGGAGCACUGGAGCAGGAGGCACAGGUGGCUUUCAGAGGGCCUGGCAAGGUAGGUGUGUGCUGAACAGACGUUAAGGUGGCUCAUGACCUCCUCCUGGUGGUCACAUCUGUGUGUCGUCCUCUUCCUUGAAAGCAGAUGGGAC